rnacentral:rRNA from 1 species
GACGAACGCUGGCGGCGUGCUUAACACAUGCAAGUCGAACGGAAAGGCCCUGCUUUUGUGGGGUGCUCGAGUGGCGAACGGGUGAGUAACACGUGAGUAACCUGCCCUUGACUUUGGGAUAACUUCAGGAAACUGGGGCUAAUACCGGAUAGGAGCUCCUGCUGCAUGGUGGGGGUUGGAAAGUUUCGGCGGUUGGGGAUGGACUCGCGGCUUAUCAGCUUGUUGGUGGGGUAGUGGCUUACCAAGGCUUUGACGGGUAGCCGGCCUGAGAGGGUGACCGGCACAAUGGGGACGGGGAUCGGGCCCGGACUCCUCCGGAGGCAGCAGUGGGGAAUAUUGCACAAUGGGCGGAAGCCUGAUGCAGCAACGCCGCGUGCGGGAUGACGGCCUUCGGGUUGUAAACCGCUUUCGCCUGUGACGAAGCGUGAGUGACGGUAAUGGGUAAAGAAGCACCGGCUAACUACGUG